rnacentral:misc_RNA from 1 species
UCCGGUUUAUCACCGGCAGUCUCCUUUGAGUUCCCGGCAUUACCCGCUGGCAACAAAGGAUAAGGGUUGCGCUCGUUGCGGGACUUAACCCAACAUUUCACAACACGAGCUGACGACAGCCAUGCAGCACCUGUCUCAGAGUUCCCGAAGGCACCAAAGCAUCUCUGCUAAGUUCUCUGGAUGUCAAGGCCAGGUAAGGUUCUUCGCGUUGCAUCGAAUUAAACCACAUGCUCCACCGCUUGUGCGGGCCCCCGUCAAUUCUUUUGAGUUUUAGCCUUGCGGCCGUACUCCCCAGGCGGAACACUUAUCGCGUUGGCUUCGGCACGGACAGAUUCGACUCCGCCCACACCUAGUGUUCAUCGUUUACGGCGUGGACUAC